ensembl:miRNA
AGCCUCAUGCUCUGUUGACAACAGUUCUAAGGAACUGAUGUCAACAGAGCAUGAGGCUGU